GCCAUAACUGAGUGGUAGAGAAUCUGUUUUGCGUACAAAAAGUCCCAGGUUCAAUCCCUGCCAUCUCCA